ACUGCGCCUAUUUGCAAAACAUGGAGUUAAUUGAAAAGUUAGAGUUGUUUUUGCUUGGCAAAGCUUGCGAAAGUCGUGCUUCAAAUCCAAAUAUCUAUCUAAUAACAAGGGGACGCCCCUUAAAUCAGUUAACAUAAACAAAUAUCAGUGAUUUCUAGUGUUGCUCCUUUAGCCAACAAUGAUGCAUAUGAGUUACAAGCUGAAAGGUAAAGAUACAGAAGCCUGAUGCCUAAACAUUAUGUGAACUCUCCAGUAAGCACUUACGGGAAAAAUCAGAAAACAUUGUAAUGUACAAGUGUUGUUCUACCGAGCUGUUUUACAGACGUGAAUCUUCUCUCCCAUAUUAUUGAAAAUGAACACAAUUCUUGACAGAAAAUUGGAAGAUCACCUUGUACUGUUGGUUUACGUGACAGGCUGCUUGUCCAACUCUUCAUUCGAGUAUUAUGCUCUUAACAUAUCCAUUACCAAAUCAUUGUUCUUAACAAAUAUCCCACGCAAGUAAAACGGACGUCAGCAACCUGAAGUGUUUCUCACAUGCUUUCUCUCCCUUUCGAGCCAUCCAAAGAACAAGGCUAUACCAGAUUUGGAUUAGCCUAUUUGGUGAUUUCAGACAUCAGAAACCAUAGAGAUAAAACAACAGAAACUAGUCUUUACUCUUUAGCAUCCGAGUAAGAGAGGUCUUUGUAAACACCAAGCAAAGGGAAGGUCUUAUUUAGACGCUUGAAUGAAUCUUCAGAAAUAGCAUUCAUACUGUGAAGGGAAUUAGCCAACACCAUAGCCUCUGCUCGUAAUCCUGAAAAGCCAAUACCUUCAAUCAACAAGGUGUAAGUGGUUUCAUUUGGCCGGCACCCCUUUCCAACCAUUACUGCUAGAACUUCAAUGGCAUCGCUGACUCUAAGUACUUUGCAUAAUCCAAGAAGAAUAAUGUUAUAGCUAACAACAUUAGGCAGGAACCUUCCCUUUUCCAUGUCUAUCAACAGCCCAAUAGCUUCAUCCACCAUUCCAUCUCUGCACAAACACGAAAUGAGUGAAUUAUAAGUUAUCUCAUCUGCAUCAAUUCCUUGGUUAAGCAUUUCCAAUAUCAUUCCCAAGGCUCUAUAUCUAUCUCCGGAGCUCCACAAUGCACUGAACAUUGUGUUGUAAGAACUAACAUUUGGAGGACAACCCACUUCAUCUAGUUUUUCGAAGACUUCAAAAGCAUGAUCAGCAUUUCCUGUCUUGCACAAACCAGCCAUUAUUGUAUUGUAGUUCACAAUAUCUGGCAAACAACCAUCUGAGAUCAUAUAAUCCAAGAAUUUAAUUGCCAAAUCUAAUUUUCCCUCUCUGCAAAAAGCAGCAAUCAAUGGAUCAUAACAAUAAGCAUCAGGCCUCAAACCCUUUUCUUUCAUCGCCUUCAACAAGUUCACAGCUUCCUCAAUUUUGCCAUCACGGCAUAGAUUGCCAAUCAAAAUGCUAUGAGUAACAACAUUAGGCUUACAACCUCCUGCAAUCAUCUCAUCCAUUAAUUUUUCCCCUUCAUUCCAUUUCCCUUGAUUCAGAAGUGCUCGUAACAGUAUAUUGUAUGUGAUUACAUCUGGCUUACAACCCCUCGAAUUCAAGCUCUUAACAAGGUCAAAAGCACGAUUCACCACCCUUUCUUUGCACAUCCCUCUAAUUAUUGCAUUAUAAGUAAAAGUAUCAGGUUCAAGCCCUCUGGAUAACAUCUCAUCCAAAAGCUUCAUAGCUUCAUCAAUUCCGCCUUCAAGAAUAGUUGCUUCUAUCAAAAUUGUGUACGUAAUCACAGUUGGCUUGCAAUCGUCUUUCAACAAUUCUUCAAAAACGUCCAAAGCCAAAUCAAGCUUUCCUCUGCUACAAAAUGUCCCAAUCAUUAUAUUGUAGGUAACAACAUCAGGCGAAAAUCCCCUACUUUUCAUCCUACCGAGGACCUUAUUAGCAUUUUCAAUCUGAUUAGCCUUGCAAAACCCACUAAUCAAUGCAUUAUAAGCAAAAACAUCAGGUUUACCGUAUCUUUCCAGAAUUUCCAUGACUCUGGUAGCCUUCUCAAUUUUUCUUGAACUGAAAAACCCUUUGAUAAGCUUAGUGCACAUAAUAACAUCAGGCUUAUAACCUUUAUCAACCAUACACUCGAGAAAAUAAAGUGAUUCAUUAUACUUCCCCGCCUUGCAAGACCUAUUAAGCAGUUUCAUCAGAUGAAUCUCUUUGAAAUCAAAAGAUAACACAUGGGUUGGUCUUGUUUCCGCAGAAACCCUGACCUUAGGUGGGUUCCUCAGGUUGUUAGCAUCAUUCAGCUUAGGGUUUAUGCAGCCAACUACAGUGCUGUGAAGUGAAUUUGAAGUAGGUUUAAGUUGUAGAGUGGUGAAUGGGAUGCUAUGAGGGACGAACUCAGUCGAAAACAGUGUCAUGUUAAUGGUUCUGGUGGUGUUCAAAGCUCGUGGAUGAUCAUUUUGCAAGAGAAUUAUGAAGAACGAGAGAGAAAUUCAAGAAGUACCUGGAGCUGGAGAUUUGCAAGAAAUGAGAGAAAAGCUGGAACUUGGCAGUGGAGAAGUUAAGCUGUUAGCGCGUGCUCUGAAGACAAAUUAGAUUUCGAUAGGAUUACAGUACAUUCGUUAUGGA
rnacentral:misc_RNA from 1 species